rnacentral:rRNA from 1 species
AUUGAACGCUGGCGGCAGGCCUAACACAUGCAAGUCGAGCGAGCGGCGGACGGGUGAGUAGUGUAUGGCGACUGCCCGAUUUAGGGGGCUAACUACUGGAAACGGUAGCUCAUCCCGCAUACUCGCGGAUAACCCCUAUGGGAUUAGCUAGUUGGUGAGGUAAUGGCUCCCCUAGGCGACGAUCCCUAACGGGUCUGAGAGGAUGACCAGCCAGACUGGAACGGAGAGACGGCCCAGACUCCUACGGAGGAAGCAGUGGUGAAUAUUGCACAAUGGGCGCAAGCCGGAUGCAGCCAGGACGCGUGUAUGAAGAAGGCCCUAGGGUUGUAAAGUACUUUCAGUCGGGAGGCGUUACCGACAGAAGAAGCACCGGCUAACUCCGCGCCAGCCGCCGCGGUAAUAC